UACGUAGGGUGCGAGCGUUGUCCGGAUUCAUUGGGCGUAAAGCGCGCGUAGGCGGCUCGGAAAGUCGGUCGUGAAAUGCCGGGGCUCAACCCCGGGACUGCGUCCGAUACUCCCGAGCUGGAGGCAGGUAGGGGAGAUCGGAAUUCCUGGUGUAGCGGUGAAAUGCGCAGAUAUCAGGAGGAACACCGGUGGCGAAGGCGGAUCUCUGGGCCUUGCCUGACGCUGAGGCGCGAAAGCUAGGGGAGCGAACAGG
rnacentral:rRNA from 1 species